rnacentral:rRNA from 1 species
GUUGUAUGGUUAAGUGACUAAGCGUACACGGUGGAUGCCUUGGCAGUCAGAGGCGAUGAAAGACGUAGUAACUUGCGAUAAGCCCAGAUUAGGUAGUAACAACCAUUUGAGUCUGGGAUUUCUGAAUGGGGAAACCCACGUGCAUAAGCACGUAUCCUUACCUGAAUACAUAGGGUAAGGAGGCGAACCGGGGGAACUGAAACAUCUAAGUACCCCGAGGAAAAGAAAUCAACCGAGAUUCCGAAAGUAGCGGCGAGCGAAAUUGGACUAGCCCUUAAGCUUUACACGCGUUAGACGAACGGUCUGGAAAGUCCGACGAUACAGGGUGAUAGUCCCGUAGUUGACGACGUGUGUUCAGUGAAAUCGAGUAGGGCGGGACACGUGAUAUCCUGUCUGAAUAUGGGGGGACCAUCCUCCAAGGCUAAAUACUACUGACUGACCGAUAGUGAACCAGUACCGUGAGGGAAAGGCGAAAAGAACCCCUGUGAGGGGAGUGAAAUAGAACCUGAAACCGUGUACGUACAAGCAGUAGGAGCACCUUCGUGGUGUGACUGCGUACCUUUUGUAUAAUGGGUCAGCGACUUAUAUUCAGUGGCAAGGUUAACCAUCUAGGGGAGCCGUAGGGAAACCGAGUCUUAACUGGGCGUUCAGUCUCUGGAUAUAGACCCGAAACCAGGUGAUCUAGCCAUGGGCAGGUUGAAGGUUGAGUAACAUCAACUGGAGGACCGAACCGACUAAUGUUGAAAAAUUAGCGGAUGACUUGUGGCUAGGGGUGAAAGGCCAAUCAAACCUGGAGAUAGCUGGUUCUCCCCGAAAGCUAUUUAGGUAGCGCCUCGGACGAAUACUACUGGGGGUAGAGCACUGUUAAGGCUAGGGGGUCAUCCCGACUUACCAACCCUUUGCAAACUCCGAAUACCAGUAAGUACUAUCCGGGAGACACACGGCGGGUGCUAACGUCCGUCGUGGAGAGGGAAACAACCCAGACCGCCAGCUAAGGUCCCAAAUUACUACUAAGUGGGAAACGAUGUGGGAAGGCUCAGACAGCCAGGAUGUUGGCUUAGAAGCAGCCAUCAUUUAAAGAAAGCGUAAUAGCUCACUGGUCGAGUCGGCCUGCGCGGAAGAUGUAACGGGGCUAAGUAGUAAACCGAAGCUGCGGCAAUAUACUUUUGUAUAUUGGGUAGGGGAGCGUUCUGUAAGCGGUUGAAGGUGUGUGGUAACGCAUGCUGGACGUAUCAGAAGUGCGAAUGCUGACAUGAGUAACGAUAAAGGGGGUGAAAAACCUCCUCGCCGGAAGACCAAGGGUUCCUGUCCAACGUUAAUCGGGGCAGGGUAAGUCGACCCCUAAGGCGAGGCCGAAAGGCGUAGUCGAUGGGAAACGGGUUAAUAUUCCCGUACUUCUUACAAUUGCGAUGGGGGGACGGAGAAGGCUAGGUGGGCCUGGCGACGGUUGUCCAGGUUCAAGUGCGUAGGCUUGAGAGUUAGGUAAAUCCGGCUCUCUUUAAGGCUGAGACACGACGUCGAGCACCUACGGGUGUGAAGUCAUUGAUGCCAUGCUUCCAGGAAAAGCCUCUAAGCUUCAGAUUGUAAGGAAUCGUACCCCAAACCGACACAGGUGGUCGGGUAGAGAAUACCAAGGCGCUUGAGAGAACUCGGGUGAAGGAACUAGGCAAAAUGGUACCGUAACUUCGGGAGAAGGUACGCUCUUGAUGGUGAAGUCCCUUGCGGAUGGAGCUGACGAGAGUCGCAGAUACCAGGUGGCUGCAACUGUUUAUUAAAAACACAGCACUGUGCAAAAUCGUAAGAUGACGUAUACGGUGUGACGCCUGCCCGGUGCCGGAAGGUUAAUUGAUGGGGUUAGACUUCGGUCGAAGCUCUUGAUCGAAGCCCCGGUAAACGGCGGCCGUAACUAUAACGGUCCUAAGGUAGCGAAAUUCCUUGUCGGGUAAGUUCCGACCUGCACGAAUGGCGUAAUGAUGGCCACGCUGUCUCCACCCGAGACUCAGUGAAAUUGAAAUCGCUGUGAAGAUGCAGUGUACCCGCGGCUAGACGGAAAGACCCCGUGAACCUUUACUACAGCUUGGCACUGAACAUUGACCCUACAUGUGUAGGAUAGGUGGGAGGCUUUGAAGCACGUACGCCAGUAUGUGUGGAGCCGUCCUUGAAAUACCACCCUUGUAGUGUUGAUGUUCUAACGUCGACCCCUAAUCGGGGUUGCGGACAGUGCCUGGUGGGUAGUUUGACUGGGGCGGUCUCCUCCCAAAGAGUAACGGAGGAGCACGAAGGUGGGCUAAUCACGGUUGGACAUCGUGAGGUUAGUGCAAUGGCAUAAGCCCGCUUGACUGCGAGAAUGACAAUUCGAGCAGGUGCGAAAGCAGGUCAUAGUGAUCCGGUGGUUCUGAAUGGAAGGGCCAUCGCUCAACGGAUAAAAGGUACUCCGGGGAUAACAGGCUGAUACCGCCCAAGAGUUCAUAUCGACGGCGGUGUUUGGCACCUCGAUGUCGGCUCAUCACAUCCUGGGGCUGAAGUCGGUCCCAAGGGUAUGGCUGUUCGCCAUUUAAAGUGGUACGCGAGCUGGGUUUAGAACGUCGUGAGACAGUUCGGUCCCUAUCUGCCGUGGGCGUUGGAAGAUUGAAGGGGGCUGCUCCUAGUACGAGAGGACCGGAGUGGACGAACCUCUGGUGUUCGGGUUGUGUCGCCAGACGCAUUGCCCGGUAGCUAAGUUCGGAAUCGAUAACCGCUGAAAGCAUCUAAGCGGGAAGCGAGCCCUGAGAUGAGUCUUCCCUGAUACUUUAAGUAUCCUAAAGGGUUGUCGGAGACUACGACGUUGAUAGGUCAGGUGUGUAAGUGCUGUGAGGCAUUGAGCUAACUGAUACUAAUUGCCCGUGAGGCUUAACCAUACAACACCCAAGGGGUUU